rnacentral:rRNA from 1 species
UAUGGUAAUUGGUGCCGCAGCCGCGUUACUACGUAGGGGGCAAGCGUUAUCCGGACUUACUGGGUGUAAAGGGUGCGUAGGUGGUAUGGCACGUCAGAAGUGAAAACCCAGGGCUUAACUCUGGGACUGCUUUUGAAACUGUCAGACUGGAGUGCAGGAGAGGUAAGCGGAAUUCCUAGUGUAGCGGUGAAAUGCGUAGAUAUUAGGAGGAACAUCAGUGGCGAAGGCGGCUUACUGGACUGAAACUGACACUGAGGCACGAAAGCGUGGGGAGCAAACAGG